rnacentral:rRNA from 1 species
GACGAACGCUGGCGGCGUGCUUAACACAUGCAAGUCGAACGGAAAGGCCCUGCUUUUGUGGGGUGCUCGAGUGGCGAACGGGUGAGUAACACGUGAGUAACCUGCCCUUGACUUUGAGAUAACUUCAGGAAACUGGGGCUAAUACCGGAUAGGAGCUCCUGCUGCAUGGUGGGGGUUGGAAAGUUUCGGCGGUUGGGGAUGGACUCGCGGCUUAUCAGCUUGUUGGUGGGGUAGUGGCUUACCAAGGCUUUGACGGGUAGCCGGCCUGAGAGGGUGACCGGCCACAUUGGGACUGAGAUACGGCCCAGACUCCUACGGGAGGCAGCAGUGGGGAAUAUUGCACAAUGGGCGGAAGCCUGAUGCAGCAACGCCGCGUGCGGGAUGACGGCCCUCGGGUUGUAAACCGCUUUCGCCUGUGACGAAGCGUGAGUGACGGUAAUGGGUAAAGAAGCACCGGCUAACUACGUG